rnacentral:rRNA from 1 species
UACGAAGGGGGCUAGCGUUGCUCGGAAUUACUGGGCGUCAAGGGCGCGUAGGCGGAUGUUUAAGUCAGAGGUGAAAGCCCAGGGCUCAACCUUGGAACUGCCUUUGAUACUGGACAUCUUGAGUAUGGGAGAGGUGAGUGGAACUCCGAGUGUAGAGGUGAAAUUCGUAGAUAUUCGGAAGAACACCAGUGGCGAAGGCGACGCACUGGCCCAUUACUGACGCUGAGGCGCGAAAGCGUGGGGAGCAAACAGG